rnacentral:misc_RNA from 1 species
AACCAUAGAAACCUGCGGAGUACCUGCGGAGGGAUCAUUAAAGAUUGACCGAAAGGUCUUAUCUCUAUAUCCCUCACCUCUGUGAACUGUGGACCUCCGGGUCUAUUUAACAAACAUCAGUGUAAUGAACGUAUAUGUCAUUAAACAAAACAAAACUUUCAACAACGGAUCU